AUCAACUUUCGAUGGUAGGAUAGAGGCCUACCAUGGUGGUAACGGGUAACGGGGUGUUAGGGCACGACACCGGAGAGGGAGCCUGAGAAACGGCUACCACAUCCAAGGAUGGCAGCAGGCGCGCAAACUACCCAAUCCCGACACGGGGAGGUAGUGACAAUAAAUAACAAUACGGGGUUCUUUCGGAUUUCGUAAUUGGAAUGAGUACAAUUUAAAUCUCUUAACGAGGAACAAUUGGAGGGCAAGUCUGGUGCCAGCAGCCGCGGUAAUUCCAGCUCCAAUAGCGUAUAUUAAAGUUGCUGCAGUUAAAAAGCUCGUAGUUGAAUUUCGGGACCAAUAUGUCGGUCGUGCCUCGGUACGUACUGGCAUCGUUGGUUUCUCCCUUCUGACGAACCAUGAUGUCAUUUAUUUGGUGUCGUGGGGAAUCAGGACUGUUACUUUGAAAAAAUUAGAGUGUUUAAAGCAGGCUCACGCUUGAAUACAUUAGCAUGGAAUAAUGAAAUAGGACGUUUGAUUCUAUUUUGUUGGUUUCUAGGAUUGACGUAAUGAUUAAUAGGGAUAGUUGGGGCAUUAGUAUUCAAUUGUCAGAGGUGAAAUUCUUGGAUUUAUUGAAGACUAACUACUGCGAAAGCAUUUGCCAAGGAUGUUUUCAUUAAUCAAGAACGAAAGUUAGGGGAUCGAAGACGAUCAGAUACCGUCGUAGUCUUAACCAUAAACUAUGCCGACUAGGGAUCGGAUGAUGUUAAUUUUUUAAUGACUCAUUCGGCGCCUUACGGGAAACCAAAGUGUUUGGGUUC
rnacentral:rRNA from 1 species